rnacentral:rRNA from 1 species
AUGGGCUGGCUCCCGCCCAGCAGCCCCCACUGGCGCGCCCUCCGCAAGUUGUGCUCGGGGGAGCUCUUCGCGCCGCACCGCCUCGACGCGCACCAGUCCAUCCGCCGAGAGAAGGUGCAGCAGCUCGCGUCCCACGUCGCUCGGCUGUCCCGGGAGGGCGCCGCCGUGGACGCCAGCCGCGGCGUGUUCACCACCGCGUUGAACCUGCUCUCCUGCACCAUAUUCUCAGCGGACAUCAUCGACCUCGACGACAGAGAAGGGACAGGGCAGUUCAGGGCCAUGAUCGCAAGCUUCACGGAGGUCGUCGGGCUGCCCAACCUGUCGGACUUCUUCCAUGUGCUUGUCAAGAUCCGAUUCGAGAGCCUGACCGACAAGAGCAAGUUCGACACGCAGCCGAAGCUCUUCAUCCACCUCGCCCUCGUCCCCGACACUCUCAAUCAUCGACAGCGGCGUCGGCAUGACCAAGUCAGCCAGGAGAUCUCAACGCUCACGGUUUCUCUGUCAACAAACACACUGAAAUUCUAUGCUCCACGGAGGUGCUUAAUUACUCCGACGGAUGGGGCAUAA